rnacentral:rRNA from 1 species
AGAUUGAACGCUGGCGGCAUGCUUUACACAUGCAAGUCGAACGGUAACAGGCCGCAAGGUGCUGACGAGUGGCGAACGGGUGAGUAAUGCAUCGGAACGUGCCCAGUCGUGGGGGGAUAACGCAGCGAAAGCUGUGCUAAUACCGCAUACGAUCUAUGGAUGAAAGCGGGGGACCGAAAGGCCUCGCGCGAUUGGAGCGGCCGAUGUCAGAUUAGCUAGUUGGUGGGGUAAAGGCCCACCAAGGCGACGAUCUGUAGCUGGUCUGAGAGGACGACCAGCCACACUGGAACUGAGACACGGUCCAGACUCCUACGGGAGGCAGCAGUGGGGAAUUUUGGACAAAUGGGCGCAAGCCUGAUCCAGCAAAUGCCGCGUGCAAGGAAGAAGGCCGUGGUUGGUAAAUAGCUUUGUUAACGGUAACGAAACGGUACUAGGGUUAAGUACCGUACGGCGUAAUAGACGGUAACCGUAAACGAAGUAAAGACAACCGGACGUAACCUAACGUGACC